CCUGGGACUUGGGGGCGGGGUCAGUCAUAUAAAGGCUGUGCCCAGCGCUUUUGGAAGCAGUAAGUCCAGGCUUAGGCUAAGUCAAAGAGGGCUACAGAGUCUAGUGAGAUGUAACAGUGCACUCGAGUUUUGUACCUCUCAGAAAAUGGCGUCCUUCUAGGGAUCAGCCUUGCCAAAGUGGAUGACAUUGGACUAUAGCUGGUAAACAGCAAGAAAUCAGUGAUAGUUUAUUCAGAACUGGGGAUGAGCUCAGUGUAGCUGACACAGGCUGAAAAUAAUUCCUAUAGUUAGGAGAGCUGAGGAAUUUACCCAGUCCAUGCUCGGAGGUGUUAAUCACUGAAGGGAGGUAGAAUGUUUUUCCCCACUAGAGGAGGCAGCGACCAUGUCUCCUCUAUGGAGGCAUUCAAGAGCCGUCCAGCUGAAGCAGCGUCAUUGUCUGAGCUUGGAAGGCACAAUCCACAUAGAUCUGCAUGGUCCACCGAGCUCCAUACCCACGGGGCCAGCUGGGAGGUGGGCAGCUGCUGGGCUCUCUUCUGAAGCAGACAGGAUCUCACUCUGUUGCUGAGGCUGGAUCACAGCUCCCUGCAACCUUGAACUCUCCCUCAAGCAAUCCUCCCCACUCUGCCUUCCAAAGCACUAGCAUUACAGGCCUAAGCCACCACUCCCAUCCACUGUAGUGUAAACUGUCUCCUUCAACAUUUCCAGUAGUUGCAGAGCAGAUCAGAUAAGGGUUCUUCCUGUGUAUUGGUUCAAGUUUCAUUCUCUCUUUAAACGAUUUAAGGUUGGCUUCCAUGGUUCCUUCUUAAAGAAUGUUGAAGGUGUGUCUUCAGAUCCAUUUAGUGUUCGUGGAACCCCAGGGAAAGCUGAUGGAAAACCCUCUUUUUUCCCCCACAUGUCUCAAAAAGUUGUAUUUUCUGGACCCGAGGGAUCUGCAAGCCUCCUAAAGACAUUUCCAUUGUCACUACCAUCAGGUGUGAACUUGAGUCUGGCACCUAUAGUUCCAAGAACUGUCAUAAUAGACGCUGAAGAAACAUUGUGAAGUUAACUCGCUGUUACCAACUGUGAAGUCAUCAGCUAGAGGAGUCUUGGGCGGUCUGAAAUCUGAAAUACCGUGGAAAGAACAGAAAGAUCCUGUAUCUUUCCUAUAAUUGUUCUACUGGAAGUUGUCAUUUUACACAGGAGACAUUCUGUUUUAUUUAUUUUCUUUUGAGACAGGGUUUCACUCUGUCGCCCAGGCUGGAGUGCAGUGUUGUUACCACAGGUCACUGGUGCCUCCACUGCCUGAGGACUGCUCAAGCAAUCCUCCUACCUCAGUCCCCUGAGGAGCCUGCACCACCACGCCCGGCUAAUUAUUUUUAUUUGUAGAGAAAAGAUCUAUCUUGCCUAGGCUGAUCUCGAAGUCCUGGGCUCAAGUAAUCCUCCCGCCGUGGCUUCUCAAAGUGCUUGGGAUUACAGAUGUAAGCUACCAUGCCCAGCCUCACAGGAGGCAUUUUUGAUGUCCCUCUUGACAGUCUACAAAAGUCUACAAAUCUUUUUUUUUUUUUUUUUUUUCUGAGACAGGGUCUUGCUCUGCCACCCAGUCUGGAGUGCAGUGGUGCCAUCAUAGCUCACUACAGCCUGAGCUGUACUGAGUUCAAGGGUUCUUCCCGUCUCAGCCUCCUAAGUAGCUGGGACUACAGACACUUGCCACCAGGCCCAGAUAAUUUAUUAAAAAUUUUUUUUUGUAGAGACAGGGUCUCACUAUGUUGCCCAGGCUGGUCUCAAACUCCUGGCCUCAAACAAUCCUCUACCUCAACCUCCCUAAGUGCCGGCCAAUCAGGCAUCAGCUGCCAUGCCUGGCUGCAAAUCUUAGGUUUUCCCCAUGGCUUCUUUCUCUGGUGUUCUUUUCUCAGGUAAUGGAAGUGGGCAGAGAAUGAUCCUCUCCCUAGGCUCCAGUGUGUAAGAAUUAAAGAGGAAAGAAACA